CAAAGUACUUUGAAGAGAGAGUUCAAGAGGGCGUGAAACCGCUUGGAAGGAAACGGGUGGACCUGGCGUUAGUUCGUUGGAUUCAAUCCUUUCUUGCUGCGGGCCUUUUGGCGUCGAUUACAUCGACGAACAGCCAUUAGGUUGCUUCUGGCUUGAAGGGUGCAUUUCCAGCGGAUGCGCACUAGGGACUGUUUGGCUGCUGUGUGAAGCUUGAGGUGCCGGCUGGUGCUUGCAUCAGUGUCCCACUCUUGUGAAACGCGAGUUAGCUAGACAGGCUCAGGCUUGUACGCCUGUGGCUCAUUGAAAUUGGUCGCUUGUGGGUGGAUGCUGGGUGUUCGUUUCGGCGACCCUGGCGCCUGCCUGCUUGCAAUGCUGGUGGAUUGAGUCUACAAGCUGCCCUGGUGUUCCAGUCAGUUACCCACCUGACCCGUCUUGAAACACGGACCAAGGAGUCUAACAUGUGCGCGAGUUAUUGGGUUGCAAAACCUAAAGGCGUAAUGAGAGUGAAGGCUGGCUUGACUGGCUGAUGUGGGAUCCUAGUUCGCUAGGCGCACCACAGUCCCGUCUCGUCUGCAUUGUCAGUGAGGCGGAGACAGAGCGUACACGUUGGGACCCGAAAGAUGGUGAACUAUGCCUGAGCAGGACGAAGCCAGAGGAAACUCUGGUGGAGGUCCGAAACGGUUCUGACGUGCAAAUCGAUCGUCAGACUUGGGUAUAGGGGCGAAAGACUAAUCGAACCAUCUAGUA
rnacentral:rRNA from 1 species